UACGGAGGGAGCUAGCGUUGUUCGGAAUUACUGGGCGUAAAGCGCGCGUAGGCGGCUUUGUAAGUUAGAGGUGAAAGCCCGGAGCUCAACUCCGGAACUGCCUUUAAAACUGCAUCGCUUGAAUCCAGGAGAGGUGAGUGGAAUUCCGAGUGUAGAGGUGAAAUUCGUAGAUAUUGGGAAGAACACCUGAGGCGAAGGCGGGUUGCUGGGCCGACACUGACGCUGAGGCGCGAAAGCCAGGGGAGCGAACGGG
rnacentral:rRNA from 1 species